GACAACCUGAAACAAAACGUGUAUAUAAAGUUAGGAGUUCACUUGCACUUCAUCAAACUGCUAACACACUAUCAGUGCCAUGUCAGUAGAACAUCUGGUAACUACAUUAAGUUCAUCAGACUGUGGAUGGCCGUCUUUGUCCAGAGUAUUUGUCAUUUUUUUCACCAGUGUAUUAGCUUUUUCCCAUUAUUUAUCUUAGAUGAAUUUUGUUGUUGGUAAGGUGUGGCCAGAGGUUUGCUUUCUGGACUAAUGAAGCCAGAAUCCUGCUCCAGGGAACCUUGAAGCCUGUUUACAGAGUGCCAAGGCGGGGUGCUGUCACUGAUGAAGUUCUGUUCCAUAUGCAGGCUGUCACUCAACGCACUGCAAAGGAAACCAGACUGGUGGACUUCAUUAUCCAGUCAAAGGGAGCUGAGCAGCAUUUGGUGGAUGUACUUGGUGGCAAACGCUCUACUUGGAUUCAUCAGAAGUCUUGUUGCCAGAUGCCCGUCUACCUGGAUAGUGAGGAACAACACGACAAGCUUUUUGCAUUCUAAAGACUGUACUGCACAGAACACCAACACAACUGAGCUUCACAGAUGAAGUGCUGUUCCUCUGUGAUGUUCUCUUUCCAGAGGCCAUCAUAUAUGGCCUGUCUAUGCAGGACAAUCUGUCCCUGCAGGACAAUCUGUCCCUGCAGGACAAUCUGUCCCUGCAGGAGGCUGAGCAGGUCUUCUUCAGUGGUCCAGCUUACCAUCAAAGUGAAGUGGAGGAAUUUUGUCAAAGGAUUAAAAAAGACCUGAAGAAAGAAGGCAGACUGUUCAGUUGGAGGAAGUGAGAUCAGAGGUUUUGCAGCAGGAGUCAUAGACUUCACUUACUUUUGUGUGUGUGUGUGUGUGUGUGUGUGUGUGUGUGUGUGUGUGUGUGUGUGUGUGUGUGUGUGUGUGCAUGUGUGUGUGUUCAGCUUUUAUUUUCAUUUCAUAUUAUUGUGUAAAAUAAAUAUAUAUCUGUCUUCA